UAAAGGAUGACGUUAUUCCAGUGGCAAUAGGAGAAAACAGGACGUACCGAAGGAACGUUCGCUUACAACUAUCAUCUUAGAGUUGUGGCCUUGCAGUUACCAUCCAGCCUAGCGAUGAUCAAAUGUUAAGCUCACACUGGUACCGCUGACAGAAUCUCCAAGGGCAACAUGCAAAUAGAUGCCGCCAGCAAGCAGGCAGCGUUACAGUCCACUUUCCUGGUUCCAAUGGGCUCACAGCAACGCCUCGUUACAAAAAGUAUGAGGACGGGUAUGCCAGACAUGGGUAUGCCAGGCUUACCGAGAGAUCGGUGAUCUGCCUGAAGGGGAGUACCGCGCUGCCGAGCCAGGACUUGGAAUGAAAGAAGCUGGGACCAAGAUGGUAAGGACUGUUUUAGGUGCUGUUGACCACCCCCAUGGCUGUGAAGGUACAAAGGCAGCCCCACAGAAUACAUAGAACCGACUGCAAAAGAAUCAGCGUGGAAACCGACUCCGAUAACAACAAAGAUGCCUUCCAUACUUGUGACUGUGGUGACUGUGGGGACUGUGACCUUGGGAACAGAUGGAUUUUAAACUGACACCCCUCUGCAUAAAAGCUUUUUGCACCUGGCUUCCCAGACAGCCCGUGUAAUGAGGAGAGACACCCGCUGCUGGUUAUGUGUCCACAUGCCAACCCACUUGGUGGGGGUGGGAGUUCCUUUGUGGCCAGUACCUUUUCGCUGGCACAAAGUCGUAAAUGGCUACUGUGUCGAAGCCUAUCCGGUGAUCUUGCUAAUACCGAUGAUGCACGGGAAUGGCAGUUGGCAGGGGAUAACAUGACUUUAUUCAGGGGCUGGCAUCAACCUAAUUACAACCAACCACUUAGACCUCCCUCCACACCAACCUAAUACCAACUCAUGGCAACCAACAGCUUCCUUUCCCCUAACUCAUCCCCCUAUCCCUUUAUAUUCCCUAUUCCAACUUAUGCAACUCAUCCAAACCUAUGACCCACCACCACACUUUGCCCUUGUGUCUUCAAUGCCAACUGACCCAGU